rnacentral:tRNA from 1 species
AAAGAUUAGCUUUACAUAAAACAAUUAAUUUACACUUAAUGAAUCAAAUGUAAAUUGUUU